GUCCGGAUGGCGCAGUGGUUAACGCAACUGCCUCGUAAGUAGGAGAUCCCAGGUUCGAGUCCCGGUCCAGCACA